AUUGAACGCUGGCGGAAUGCUUUACACAUGCAAGUCGAACGGCAGCACGGGGCAACCUGGUGGCGAGUGGCGAACGGGUGAGUAAUACAUCGGAACGUGCCCAAUCGUGGGGGAUAACGUAGCGAAAGUUACGCUAAUACCGCAUACGAUCUACGGAUGAAAGCGGGGGAUCGCAAGACCUCGCGCGAAUGGAGCGGCCGAUGUCAGAUUAGGUAGUUGGUGGGGUAAAGGCUCACAAAGCCAACGAUCUGUAGCGGGUCUGAGAGGACGACCAGCCACACUGGGACUGAGACACGGCCCAGACUCCUACGGGAGGCAGCAGUGGGGAAUUUUGGACAAUGGGCGCAAGCCUGAUCCAGCCAUUCCGCGUGCAGGAUGAAGGCCUUCGGGUUGUAAACUGCUUUUGUACGGAACGAAACGGUUCUCUCUAAUACAGGGGGCUAAUGACGGUACCGUAAGAAUAAGCACCGGCUAACUACGUGCCAGCCGCCGCCGUAAGAC
rnacentral:rRNA from 1 species